rnacentral:lncRNA from 1 species
GCGGCAGCCCCAGAGCCCAGAAUGUCAGCAAAAAAGAGCCACACCCCCCUCUGUCUUCCCCAGCUGUGCUGUCCACACAGGGGCGGCUUCUGGACACCUGGCUCUUGGGCAUCUCCUGGCUGCAUAGAUGAUACCCAGGUGGGGCCUGCUGGCUCUAGGACCUCCGCCCCACGCUGGCCCGGCCUGGUUGUCAGUGGAAUCAUAACCUGUGCACGAAUGGGUGGGGGUUGCUGUGCCCUGGGCAGACCUUGCUCCGGCCCCCAUGGCUGGUCCAGAGGAGGAGGAAGGUUGAGGGCGGUCCUGCCCCCUCUGCCCCACAAAGGGCAGCUGCAGGGCUCUUUCUAGAAUGGAGGCCUCACCGCAGUCUCUGUUAAAGGCCUCCAUGACCAGGCUCAUGCCUAUAAUCCCAAUUACUCAGGAGGCGGGUGGAUUGCUUGAGCCCAGGAGUUCAAGACCAGCCUGGGCAACAUAGCCAGACCUCAUCUCACUUAAGAAGAAAUAAAAAAUAAAGGCCUCCACAGGCUUUCACCCCUGAGAAUGGAGCCAAGAUCUCCCCUCCUCUGCAGCACCCACAGGUCCUGGCUGGUCCCCCUGGGGACCCCAUCCCCGGCUCCAGCCCACCCUGGCCAGGUCCCUCUCCCGGGGCCCCAGCUCCUCCUCCUCCUUCGGGCCCUGCCUCCACUCCUUGCAGCUCCUGCCCCUCUGCUCCCCUCUGAGCACAACUUCUGGAAGAAGUUUGUAUGGCUGUGUGAUUUGUAAAUAGGAAUGAAUUAAAAUUCAUGGCCGGGUGCGAUGGCUCAUGCCUGAAAUCCCAGCACUUUGGGAGGCUGAGGCAGGCGCAUCACCUGAGGUCAGGAGUUUGAGACCAGCCUGACCAACAUGGUGAAACCCCGUCUCUACUAAAAAUACAAAAUUAUCCGGGUGUGGUCAUGGGCACCUGUAAUCCCAGCUACACGGGAGGCUGAGGCAGGAGAAUCGCUUGAACCCGGGAGGCGGAGGUUGCGGUGAGCCGAGAUCUCGCCACUGCACUCCAGCCUGGGCAACAAGAGAAAAACUCAGUAUCAAAAAUAAAAAUAAAUAAAUUAAUUAACAAUAAUAAAAUUCAGCAACAGCCACGGUGCCACUGCUCAGGAACACCGCGGUGCCGGUCGGCACGGCCCGUCCUCUCCCUCAUCUCCAGAGCCGUGUCCCGCCCUCCAAGCCCACGGAGGACUUGGCUGUCAGGGUUGCCACGGACGUCGGGGCCCAGCCGGUCCUCAGCAGCCUCCGAGGCCGUCAGUGCCGCCUUCUUCCAGUGGCGCCUUCUCUGCGAGGCUCUGUGGAGGCUGCACUUCCCGGCUUCCCACCUUGCCCUGGCCAGGGCCCUUUGUCCUCCUCCUCGAUGGGAGCCCCAGGCCCUGGCUCUUCUGUGUCUGCACAGAGUCUAGGCCAGUCCAGCGCCACCUCUUCUCUGAGCUCCAGACACCCGGUUUCAGCACCUCCGUUUGCAAAGUCAGCAGCACGUCUUUCCUAACAUCUUCAAAACCCAAAGCUCCUGAUCUUGCCCCCGCGGCCCACACCCUCUUCUUCAUCUUCCCCACACAGGCAAGGGUGGCCGCCCUGCCCCCGGCCCCCCUCGGCGCUCCCUGCCGGCUCCGAUCCAUGAGUUCCUCUCAUCCUACCUUCAAAAGGUGCCCAGAGGCCACACGCGGUGGCUCACACCUGUAAUCCCAGCAGCGUGGAUCACGAAGUUAGAAGUUGAAGACCAUCCUGGCCAACAUGGUGAAACUCCGUCUCUACUAAAAAUACAAAAAUUAGCCAGGCAUGGUGGCAUACACCUGUAAUCCCAGCUACUCCGGAGGCUGAGGCAGGAGAAUUGCAUAAACCCGGGAGGUGGAGGUUGCAGUGAGCCAAGACCGCGCCAGUGCACUCCAGCCUGGGUGACACAGUGAGACGCCAUCUCAAAAACAAAAAACAAAAAACAACAAAGGUGUCCAGAGCCGACCACUUCUCCUCCAACCGCCUGGGCCUGCCAGGACUGUUGGUUCCGUUCUGCCCGACUCUGACCCCACAGCCAAGCCUGAGUGAGGCCAGGCCUGGCGGGCCAGGGACCAAAGUGUCCUGGCAGGGCCUGCGGGUGGAGGGGGGCAGGCGUCCAGGACCCCGGGUCUGAGGCGUGACCCAGCUGGGAGCGCGAGGAGGGCCCGGGUGGCAUUUCGCCACGCCCACCUGUCGGGGCCGUAGACGCUUCUCCUGGGGUCCAGGAUUCUGGGCCGCCGUGCGCCGGGCUCACCUGCACGAGGGUCUCACCGCGCCGCUCGCCGGCGCUCGGGGUGCGCUCUGGGCGGCC